UACGUAGGGUGCGAGCGUUAAUCGGAAUUACUGGGCGUAAAGGGUGCGCAGGCGGUUUUGUAAGCCAGAUGUGAAAUCCCCGGGCUUAACCUGGGAAUGGCAUUUGGGACUGCAAGGCUAGAGUGUGGCAGAGGAGACUGGAAUUCCUGGUGUAGCAGUGAAAUGCGUAGAUAUCGGGAGGAACACCAGUGGCGAAGGCGACUACCUGGCCUGUUCUUGACGCUGAGGCGCGAAAGCUAGGGGAGCAAACGGGG
rnacentral:rRNA from 1 species